rnacentral:rRNA from 1 species
GACGAACGCUGGCGGCGUGCUUAACACAUGCAAGUCGAACGGAAAGGCCCCUUUGGGGGUACUCGAGUGGCGAACGGGUGAGUAACACGUGAGUAACCUGCCCUUGACUUCGGGAUAACUUCAGGAAACUGGGGCUAAUACCGGAUAGGAAUCCUUGCUGCAUGGUGGGGGUUGGAAAGCUUCGGCGGUUUUGGAUGGACUCGCGGCUUAUCAGCUUGUUGGUGGGGUAGUGGCUUACCAAGGCUUUGACGGGUAGCCGGCCUGGGAGGGCGACCGGCCACAUUGGGACUGAGAUUCGGCCCCGACUCCUACGGGUGGCAGCAGUGGCGAAUAUUGCACGAUGGGCGGAAGCCUGAUGCAGCAACGCCGCGUGCGGGAUGACGGCCUUCGGGUUGUGAUCCGCUUUCAGCAGGGGCGAAGCUUGUGGUGACGGUACCUGCAGAAGAAGCACCGGCUAACUACGUG